CUCUUAUCAAGAGAGGCGGAGGGAUUGGCCCUAUGAAGCCCGGCAACCGCUGACGUCAUGUCAGAAAGGUGCUACAUCCAGCAGGAGAAAUCUCCUGAAAGAUAGGAU
rnacentral:ncRNA from 1 species